GAUGAACGCUGGCGGCGUGCCUAAUACAUGCAAGUCGAGCGAACAGACGAGGAGCUUGCUCCUCCGACGUUAGCGGCGGACGGGUGAGUAACACGUGGAUAACCUACCUAUAAGACUGGGAUAACUUCGGGAAACCGGAGCUAAUACCGGAUAAUAUAUUGAACCGCAUGGUUCAAUAGUGAAAGACGGUUUUGCUGUCACUUAUAGAUGGAUCCGCGCCGCAUUAGCUAGUUGGUAAGGUAACGGCUUACCAAGGCGACGAUGCGUAGCCGACCUGAGAGGGUGAUCGGCCACACUGGAACUGAGACACGGUCCAGACUCCUACGGGAGGCAGCAGUAGGGAAUCUUCCGCAAUGGGCGAAAGCCUGACGGAGCAACGCCGCGUGAGUGAUGAAGGUCUUCCGAUCGUAAAACUCUGUUAUUAGGGAAGAACAAAUGUGUAAGUAACUAUGCACGUCUUGACGGUACCUAAUCAGAAAGCCACGGCUAACUACGUG
rnacentral:rRNA from 1 species